rnacentral:misc_RNA from 1 species
GAUGAAGAACGCAGCGAAAUGCGAUAAGUAGUGUGAAUUGCAGAAUUCAGUGAAUCAUCGAAUCUUUGAACGCACAUUGCGCCCCUCGGUAUUCCGUGGGGCAUGCCUGUUCGAGCGUCAUUUAACCCCUCAAGCCUAGCUUGGUAUUGGGUGCUUGUCCCGCCUCUCGCGCGGCGACUCACCUCAAAGUCAUUGGCAGCCCGCAUCUCGCCGGCCGUGAGCGCAGCACAGACGCGCUCUUUGCAACGACGGAUCGGCUCUCCAAAAGCUUAUUUCAACCACUGACCUCGGAUCAGGUAGGGAUACCCGCUGAACUUAAGCAUAUCAAUAAGCGGAGGA